rnacentral:lncRNA from 1 species
GCGUUGGGAAGAAUUUUUUAUGUAAGAAAGAAAGACUCUCCUCCUAUCUCAUGCACGCCUCCUCUUUUAUUUUUAUCACACCAACCAGAUCUCUCACACCCCAAACCCUUCUUAAUGCCUUAAUAGAUUAAAUUCUAUUUGAUCUUGGGCAUCCAAAUCACAAAGAAGGGAUGAGAUUAGAUUAAAUUCUAUUUGAUCUUGGGCAUCCAAAUCACAAAGAAGGGAUGAGAUUAAUUGAGACA